rnacentral:rRNA from 1 species
GUGCCAGCAGCCGCGGUAAUACGGAGGAUCCAAGCGUUAUCCGGAAUCAUUGGGUUUAAAGGGUCCGUAGGCGGUUUGGUAAGUCAGUGGUGAAAGCCCAUCGCUUAACGAUGGAACGGCCAUUGAUACUGCCAGACUUGAAUUACUGGGAAGUAACUAGAAUAUGUAGUGUAGCGGUGAAAUGCUUAGAUAUUACAUGGAAUACCAAUUGCGAAGGCAGGUUACUACCAGUGGAUUGACGCUGAUGGACGAAAGCGUGGGGAGCGAACAGGAUUAGAAACCCGCGUAGUCC